GUAUAUGUUGCUGAUAAUUCUGGAGGUGUUUCUUUAAGCUUAUGGGAUAGGGAGUGCUUACAACUAAUUGGGAAACCUGCUGAAGAAAUAAUAUAUGAUCCUAAUAGCAAUGAGUUGCCAAUUGAGAUAGAUGCUAUCACCAACAAAAAUGCUCUAUUUAAAAUUAAAGUUGAAGAAUCAACGAUUUUUGAUCGAGCAUAUGUUGUGACAAAAAUCAACUGCGACCCAAAUAUUUUAAAUAAAUAUUGUGGGUCAAUAGUUGAAAGUGAGACCAAGGAAACUUAAUUGAAAGACAAAGAAAUUGAAAACAUUAAGGUAUUGAUUAAAUAAAUAUUAUAUAGAUUGGUUUUGAAAUUGAAAACAAUUAUUAUAAAUAUGAAAUAUUUCAGGUUCAAAAUGAUGGUGGGAGUAGUAGCUUUACCAAUGUACAUGAAUCAGUGAACAUCAGUGACAAUGAGGCAACAAAGAGACAACUCGAAGAAGAAAUAUCAACUGACCCAAAACUCAUGAAUAAAAGAGGGAAGAGAGUUGUGAUCAAGAAGGAGAAGCCCUAAAGUAGCAUUUAGUUUUAUGAUGUUUUAGUAAUUAGUAUUUUAGGAUUUGCACUUUCAAAAUUCGUACUUUAGAAUUGUAAUUUUAAAUUUCGUUUUUAGGAUUUCAGUUUCAAAUUUAGUUGUUUAGGAUUUCAACUUUCAAAUGUCAACUUAUUAAUGUUAGUAUUUCAUAUUUCAGAAUCA